rnacentral:rRNA from 1 species
GACGAACGCUGGCGGCGUGCCUAAUACAUGCAAGUUGAGCGAUGAAGCUUGGUGCUUGCCCCAAUUUGAAGAGCAGCGAACGGGUGAGUAACGCGUGGGGAAUCUGCCUUUGAGCGGGGGACAACAUUUGGAAACGAAUGCUAAUACCGCAUAACAACUUUAAACAUAAGUUUUAAGUUUGAAAGAUGCAAUUGCAUCACUCAAGGAUGAUCCCGCGUUGUAUUAGCUAGUUGGUGAGGUAAAGGCUCACCAAGGCGAUGAUACAUAGCCGACCUGAGAGGGUGAUCGGCCACAUUGGGACUGAGACACGGCCCAAACUCCUACGGGAGGCAGCAGUAGGGAAUCUUCGGCAAUGGACGAAAGUCUGACCGAGCAACGCCGCGUGAGUGAAGAAGGUUUUCGGAUCGUAAAACUCUGUUGGUAGAGAAGAACGUUGGUGAGAGUGGAAAGCUCAUCAAGUGACGGUAACUACCCAGAAAGGGACGGCUAACUACGUG